rnacentral:rRNA from 1 species
GUCUACGGCCAUGCCACUCUGAACAAGCUCGAUCCCGUCUGAUCUCAGAAGCUAAGCAGGGUCAAGCCUGGUUAGUACUUGAAUGGGAGACUACCUAGGAGACCAAGUGCUGUAGGCA